rnacentral:rRNA from 1 species
AUUGAACGCUGGCGGCAUGCUUUACACAUGCAAGUCGAACGCGGCCGAGGGGUGACUCUUGGCCGAGUGGCGAACGGGUGAGUAAUACAUCGGAACGUGUCCCGUUGUGGGGGAUAACCCAUCGAAAGGUGGGCUAAUACCGCAUACGCCCUGAGGGGGAAAGCGGGGGACCUGAGAGGGCCUCGCGCGAGGGGAGCGGCCGAUGUCGGAUUAGCUUGUUGGUGGGGUAAAAGCCUACCAAGGCGACGAUCCGUAGCUGGUCUGAGAGGACGACCAGCCACACUGGGACUGAGACACGGCCCAAACACCUACGGGUGGCUG